GACGAACGCUGGCGGUGUGCUUAAUACAUGCAAGUCGAACGUGAAGCUACCUUCGGGUAGUGGAAAGUGGCGGACGGGUGAGUAACACGUAGGUAAUCUGCCUUAAGGUGGGGGACAACGUUGGGAAACUGACGCUAAUACCCCAUAUGUGGCGAGUUGAAAUACUUGUCAUGAAAGUUCCGGCGCCUUAAGAUGAGCCUGCGGCUGAUUAGUUAGUUGGUGAGGUAAUGGCUUACCAAGACUAUGAUCAGUAGCUGGUCUGAGAGGAUGAUCAGCCACAAUGGGACUGAGACACGGCCCAUACUCCUACGGGAGGCAGCAGUAGGGAAUUUUGCGCAAUGGGCGAAAGCCUGACGCAGCAACACCGCGUGAGUGAUGAAGCAUCUUGGUGUGUAAAACUCUGUCAGAGGGGACGAAUUUUGACGGUACCCUCAAAGGAAGCAUCGGCUAACUACGUGCCAGCAGCCGCGGUAAGACGUAGGAUGCAAGCGUUGUCCGGAAUUAUUGGGCGUAAAGAGUUCGUAGGCGGCAUGUAAAGUCUGGUGUUAAAGCCCGGAGCUCAACUCCGGUUCGGCAUUGGAUACUUACAAGCUAGAAUGCAGAAGAGGCAAAGGGAAUUCCUAGUGUAGCGGUGAAAUGCGUAGAUAUUAGGAGGAACACCGGUGGCGUAAGCGCUUUGCUGGUCUGUUAUUGACGCUGAGGAACGAAAGCCAGGGGAGCAAAUGGGAUUAGAUACCCCAGUAGUCCUGGCCGUAAACGAUGGAUACUAGGUGUUGUAGGUAUCGACCCCUGCAGUGCUGCAGCU
rnacentral:rRNA from 1 species